GUGACCGUGAGCGGGCGGACCACCCCCAGCGCCAGCCUCCUCGCCUCUCCAGCAGGAACGAGGCCCACAGCGCCCCCUGAAGACGCGCGAGCUAGUGAGCUGCGCACACAGUCUGUCUGCUCUUCCUCCUCUACCUCCCGGGAAAGGAAAGCAUGUGCCCUCACCCUGGGACCCCUGCUGGGAUGGUCAGGACUCGGUACACAGAAAGGUAUUCCAGAGGCUAAAUUCCAAGGUGAGGCAGACUGUCCUGCGGAUGUCACGCAGAUAAGAUCAAGUUCUGGUGACCUCCCAGAGCAGCUUCCAAAGGGCAGGCAUGUCCCCAGGAGAGGAGCAGCCGCCUACCCUUGGUCCAGGAAGCAGAGGGGUCUGGGCUGCUGCCCCCCUCCCAUCUGGCUGGGUGGACGGGGACACUGCCUUCAAGCCCCGAGUCAUUGCUAGAAGCCAUCCUGGGCCCCGGGAGGGCAGGCAGGGACGGCUUCCCUCAGGUGGUUCCUGAACCUGUGUCCUUGGCCACCCCCUCCCUCAGCCCGGCCCCUGUUCUCUGGGCCUCUUCUGCCUCUAAACCCUGCAGGGGGCUUGGACGUGAGUGGAAUAUCUGGAAUUCCUAGAGGAUUUAUAAUCCAGCAACUGGGACAGGUGUGGGUAGCUGACCCCCACCCCGUCUCUGCCUCUGCCCCCGGCUCUGCCCUUCAUCUUUCCUCUUGGGCCCCAGUGUCACGUCACAUCUAAGUCACCAUCUUGACCUUCGUCUCCUUGUUCAGAGCAGAGAGCACGAGAUGCAGCAUCAGGAGCCCUUUUCUAGACUCAGCUCUGCCGGUGACUGUGUGUGGCCUCAGGCAGUCCACCUCACCUCCUCGGCCUGUUUCCUCAUCUGUGAAAUGGGUGCCUUCCCCCUGCCCUCCACGUGGGACAUCCGGUUAAUUUACCGUUUAUCCACUGGAUGUGUUUUGAGUGCUGGCUCUCCACCCUGCUCUCCUGGGUGCUGCCUUAGGAGAGCAAAACUGGACCCAGGUUCUCUUCUGCGAGGGAUUACAUAGCCCUCCCUCCUCACCCCGCCACCCCGCCAGCUCCACCAGCUCCCAGGCCAGCACUGUGCCCUCUGCAUCCCCGCUGCUCAGCACCCAGCAAAUGCCUGUCGUCUAAUAGCCUUCAACACAGUGCAGGUGCCAUUUGGGGGCUAAAAGGGAAGUUGGUUUCUGCCUGAAGCUGGCCCUGACUCUGUUAUUUAGGAUAAUAAAGAUGGGGAAAGUAAGCGAGGCUCGCCACUGGGUUAGAGUGUGUGCUGCUGCUGCCAGCCUGCACAGGGCAGCUUGGCCAUAACACAAUUACAAAUGCAGCCGGGCCUCAGGGGCCGAGCGUCCACGCAUGAACCAGGAGGUCACGGUUUGAGUCCCGGUCAGGGCACAUGUCUGGUUUUCGGGCUACAUCCCCAGUGGGAGGCGUGCAGGAGGUAGCCAAUCAAUGAUUCUCUCUCAUCUUUGAUGUUUCUAUCUCUCCCUCCCUCUCCUUUCCUCUCUCUGAAAUCAAUAAAAAAAUAUUAAGAAUUAUAAAUGCAUUCUCUUUUGGACCCCACAACUCCACUUCUAGGAAUUUACAGAUGGAUGCUCACACAGGUACAAUGAUGUCUGUGCAAUGUUGGUCACUGUAGCAUUUUUUUCAACAGGUUGGAAACAACUUAAAUGUUCAUCUCUGGAGUUUGAUACAUUAUGCUGCACCUCCCUUGAGGGGAAUCCUCUGAGGUGCAAAAAAACACUGAGGAGGCUCUUCUUGAAUAUACAUAGGAAGACCUCUAAGACAUAGUGUUGAAUUAAAAAGGAAGCAGGAAUAAAACCCUCACUGUGCAGAGCUGGGUCUGCCCCCGCAAGACCUGCUGAUGGUGCUAAAGAGCUGGGGCUCCUAACUGCCUGUUAUUCAUCACGAGGAACAAAGCAGAGGGGGCGCUCUGGACAUUGCUGCUGGGACAUGUGGCUGGGGAGGGAGCAAAACUCAGACCCUUAGCCCCUCGAAAUGUCUCCGUGGGCAAACAUGUAUGGAGCCCCAAGGGCCGGCUCGGUGCUGGGAGAGUAAAGGCAGCAAGACCCAGGCCCUGCCCGCCCUGGGCUCCAGCCUCCUACGGAAUUCCUAGGCGAGGAUUCUCCGCGAGUCCUCAGUGCGGUCCCAGCAGAGGCCUGUAGCCAGUGCAACUUCAAUGGACACAACUAGGCCUAUCCAAGGGGCGAACCUCGCGGUCCUCAGUGAGCACAUGGCCAAGCAGAAUCUUCUUGGUGGCAGGACACCACUAGCGAUU